rnacentral:rRNA from 1 species
ACUGAAUAGAUACCCAGGUAGUCCCAGCCGUAAACGAUGCUCGCUAGGUGUCAGGCAUGGCGCGACCGUGUCUGGUGCCGCAGGGAAGCCGUGAAGCGAGCCACCUGGGAAGUACGGCCGCAAGGCUGAAACUUAAAGGAAUUGGCGGGGGAGCACAACAACGGAUGGAGCCUGCGGUUUAAUUGGACUCAACGCCGGACAACUCACCGGGGGCGACAGCAAUAUGUAGGCCAGGCUGAAGACCUUGCCUGAAUCGCUGAGAGGAGGUGCAUGGCCGUCGCCAGUUCGUACUGUGAAGCAUCCUGUUAAGUCAGGCAACGAGCGAGACCCGUGCCCACUGUUACCAGCAUAUUCUCCGGAAUGAUGGGUACUCUGUGGGGACCGCCGAUGUUAAAUCGGAGGAAGGUGCGGGCCACGGUAGGUCAGUAUGCCCCGAAUCUCCCGGGCUACACGCGGGCUACAAUGGAUGGGACAAUGGGUCCCUACCCUGAAAAGGGCUGGUAAUCUCACAAACCCAUUCGUAGUUCGGAUCGA